rnacentral:rRNA from 1 species
UGAGAAACCCGAAAGAUCGAACGGGGAGAUUCAGCGUCAGCGAGGCUGGCUUUCGUGCGGGCGCGAUGCUCGGCGUCCCUCUCACGGGGGCUCGUCGUGGCACGCGUUCGUUCGGAUGCGUCCGGUCGCGUCGGCGUGCACUUCUCCCCUAGUAGAACGUCGCGACCCGCUGGGUGUCGGUUUACGGACCGCGUCGCAGACCGUCGCGCGCGCUUCGGCGUGCGUUGGCGGAGGCGCGGUUUCCCGACCGACCGCUCGGCGGUACACGCACGGUAUCGAGCCGCACAUGUCGAACUGCGUCCCGGCCCGUGGCAAGCUCGCUCGCGUUUCCUUCGGAGGUGCGGACCUAGUGCCGUCCCCGAGGCCGAGUAGUUGUUGGCAUACGGUGUCCUCGGACAGGCUCAUCCACAAAAUGAAUUUCGAUUCGUGGUACCGGUCGGCGACGCUAUUGCUUUGGGUACUUUCAGGACCCGUCUUGAAACACGGACCAAGGAGUCUAACAUGUGCGCGAGUCAUUGGGAUUAUUUUGAAACCCAAAGGCGCAUUGAAAGAGAAGGUCGGCCUUGCGCCGACCGAGGGAGGAUGGGCCGCGUCACGAUGCGGCCCCGCACUCCCGGGGCGUCUCGUACUCAUUGCGAGUUGAGGCGCACCAAGAGCGUACACGUUGGGACCCGAAAGAUGGUGAACUAUGCCUGGUCAGGACGAAGUCAGGGGAAACCCUGAUGGAGGUCCGAAGCGCUUCUGACGUGCAAAUCGAUCGUC